rnacentral:rRNA from 1 species
GACGAACGCUGGCGGCGUGCCUAAUACAUGCAAGUAGAACGCUGAAGCUUGGUGCUUGCACCGAGCGGAUGAGUUGCGAACGGGUGAGUAACGCGUAGGUAACCUGCCUGGUAGCGGGGGAUAACUAUUGGAAACGAUAGCUAAUACCGCAUAAGAGUAGAUGUUGCAUGACAUUUGCUUAAAAGGUGCAAUUGCAUCACUACCAGAUGGACCUGCGUUGUAUUAGCUAGUUGGUGAGGUAACGGCUCACCAAGGCAACGAUACAUAGCCGACCUGAGAGGGUGAUCGGCCACACUGGGACUGAGACACGGCCCAGACUCCUACGGGAGGCAGCAGUAGGGAAUCUUCGGCAAUGGACGGAAGUCUGACCGAGCAACGCCGCGUGAGUGAAGAAGGUUUUCGGAUCGUAAAGCUCUGUUGUAAGAGAAGAACGAGUGUGGGAGUGGAAAGUUCACACUGUGACGGUAUCUUACCAGAAAGGGACGGCUAACUACGUG